rnacentral:rRNA from 1 species
UACGGAGGAUGCGAGCGUUAUCCGGAUUUAUUGGGUUUAAAGGGUGCGUAGGCGGGAUGCCAAGUCAGCGGUAAAAAUGCGGUGCUCAACGCCGUCGAGCCGUUGAAACUGGCGUCCUUGAGUGGGCGAGAAGUACGCGGAAUGCGUGGUGUAGCGGUGAAAUGCAUAGAUAUCACGCAGAACUCCGAUUGCGAAGGCAGCGUACCGGCGCCCAACUGACGCUGAAGCACGAAGGCGUGGGUAUCGAACAGG